AGGCCGGUCUGGCCGGGCAGCACUCACGCUUCCUCCGGCCCAGGGUGCUGGCAUCGGGGCCAGCAGGAAGCAGGGGCGCGAAUGGAAAGAAUGACUCGUCCUUCCGUCUUCCCGGGCGCCGGCUGAUACGGGAACCGCUGGCCAGCGACAGUGGAAAGUAUGAAUCCACCCUGGCCCGGGGCUGAGCACUGCAGAGCAGUCAGACCAGGCCCCACGUUCACACCUGACUGCAGCUCCCUGGGCAGGGCCACUGUCCAGGCCCCGCCUCUGCGAGGGCUGCGGGACCAGAGGCUGCAACCUGCCGGCGGAGACAGAGCUGCAAGGCAGGCACCUGGGCGCCGGGAGGUGGGGUGCUGCUCCUGCUCACAGUGCCCGGCCUGGGCAGAGCCUUGCGAGGAGGAAAGUACCUUUAGAAACAGAACAAAACUAUCAACAUCACCACGACGAGCCGUGAAUGGAUACUGAUCCUCACGCAAUCUCCUCCAGAAGGUUCCUCACGCAGAGGAGAGGAAUCGGAGAAGAAGCCUCCAGCCCUCAGGCCCAAGGCGCCUCUCUCCACCUGCUGGACUCUGACCUUGGACAUCAAGAAGCCCAAAGGACAGUCAUUUUCAGGCCUCAAGCCGCUACUAAUGAAAAAGUCACUAAAAAAUGAAGAGCCUCUACUGCACAGGCCUAAAAAAUAUUUAACACAAUCAGGACACCUUGCGUGACUAUUUCCAUUGAGUAUCAAAGAAAAUAAUCUUUUAAAAAGAUGGGAAAACCAGGAAGCGGCCACUGAAUUCCACGGAGAGUGAACCGUAGGUGAGGAGGGCACCCCCACAGCUCUGUCACGUUCCUGUAAAGUGGCACUUUCCAUGUGAUUGCAGAAUCAGGGACCAGCCUCAUCAGUGACCCCCCAGCUCUGAAUCUGUUAUCAAAAUGCCACAGGGCUGUUCUCUCUCAAGCCAGUCAGUCGGGUAUUUUCUCUGUCACCUGGGCUGGAUGUGGGGCACGGGGAAAGGAGCUCAGUGGCUGCCAAGUGGAGGUGGGUGCCGUUGAAAGAGUGCAGUAUUAUGAUUUAUAAUAAGAAGAAUAUAUUUGGUGUUUGUCCUGGUUCAUGGCACAGAGCUCCUAAAACCCCCGGAGUUUCUAAGUGAUGAGAGAGUAAAGGUAUCUUCUGUUAUGUUAGUGAGGUGACUUUUGGGCACCAUCAGGGGAGACAACCAUGUGAUCAGAGGACUGUACUUUCAGCCCCACCCCCUAGACCUGCAGGGAAAGGAGCAGGACUGGAAGCUGGAUCAGUUGCCGAUGGCCGAUGAUUUAAUCAGUCCUGCCUUCACAUUCAUCACACUGAAACCUCCAUAAAACCCAAAAGGACCAGGCUCAAGAGCUUCUGGGUUGCUGAGCACACAGGGAUUUGGGGAGAGUGGCAUGCUCAGAGCGUGGGAGCUCCGCGCUUUCCCCCACGCCGUGCCCAAGCAUCUCUUCCAUCUGGCUGUUCCCGAACUAUAUCCUUUUAUACCGAACUGCUGAUCCAGUAAGUAACAUGUCUCUCUGAGUUCUGUGAACUGCUCUAGCAAACUAAUCAAACCCAAGGAGGGGGUCAUUGGACCUGCCUGGUUGGUCAGAAGCCCAGGUGACAACCUGUACUUGCGCUUGGCAUCUGGAGUGUGUGUGUGGUGGGAAGGCAGUCUUGUGGAAUUGAGCCCUUACCUGUUUGGGAUCUGAUGCUAUCUCUAGGUAGAUGGGGUCAGAACUGAGUUGAACUGAAGGACACCCAGCUGGUGUCUAAGAAUUGAUGCUGUGGGGACCUGCCCCCCCCACCUGACACACACGUUGGAACUGGGCCCAGAGUCACUAGCAUCAAAAAGAGAACAACCCAAUGCUUGUGUUAGGAACAACGGUGCCUGUAAAUUCCUGUAGAUACUCUUUCCCCCCAGUUUUAUCGAGAUAUGAAUGACAAAUAACAAAUGUAUGUAUUUAAGGGGAAUAACAUGAUUAAUCAUAUGCAUA